UAUCUUUCAGAUCAAAAUUCGACUUCGCAUUUGAAGAAGCAGUUUGGAAAUUAUUCAAGUGUAAAAUACAUACUUUUGAUCCAAGCUUAUCUAUUAAGCAAUCACUGAUACCUUCGUUUGUAAAUUUCAACCUCAUUGGACUAUCUGGAAGAGAUAAUAAUUACACAGCACCAGAAAACAGGAGAGGGCAUAAUAGACUACUGCGAAAAACAUGGGUAAUGCAAAGGCUGUCUACAAUUCAAAGAUUUCUUUCUCAUGAACACAAAAAUAUCGAUAUACUUAAGAUGGACAUAGAAGGAUGGGAAUGGGACGCCUUGCCUGAUAUGCUAAAUGUGGGAGUUUUAAGUAAAGUUAAACAACUUUGCCUUGAAGUACAUUUUGGAUUCAGUUUUACCCGUGUAGUUGAAAACAAAAAAGCCACUUGGAAGUUUACGUCAAAUACGUGGGGCGAUGUUCCGAUAAAGAAUCAAAUCAAGACAUUGAAACGUUUACAUGAUGCUGGCUUUAGAAUAUUCAAUUUUCAACCAUUCAAAUGGGGAUCACUCUAUGUCCAAGACAGAACUAUAAGUACUCUUAAUGAGUUAUCGUUAAUAAAUAUAAAUUACAGUGAAUAGUUAUACUAUGAACCAUUUCAGGUAAAGUAGUUUUCUUGGUUUUGAACAAAAGUUUUUCUACCUUAAAGAUAUGUAUUGAUGAAUCAUUUUAAAUAGCGUGUCUAAAUAUUCGAAACUAGAAAAGUCACAUUCGUUUUAUUUAUAUGUUUCUAAUAUGAAACUCAAGACUAUAAGAUUCUUUCACUGGUUGUAGGUGCAGAUGGAAAUAUCCGGCCUCGAGGGUAACUGUUUAGGCGGUAACAAGGCUCCCUGCCGAGUUACCGCCUAAACAGUUACCCGAGAGCCGGAUAUUCCCAUCUGCACCUAUAACCAGUGACAGAAUCUUUUUCUUGCAUACCGAUUUCAAGAAAUAAUAAUAAAAAUAAAAUCAAUCAAACGGCUUUCUGUUUAGAACUAUUUCUUAUAGCAGUGUAUUUAAACAAAGCGAGGGAAAAGAACGUCCGUAAACAGGAAAGACGUCAUAACGUUUCAAAACAAAUAACAAUGUUUAGUUCCGGUUUUGUUUUAUCAGCUGCACCGUAACGUUAUGGAUUUUUUAUAAAAUAACGUGAUUUGAAUCGAGAAUUAUACUAUCAGGAACCAAUAGGAACUGUCAAGGUAUUGAAUUUUUAUUCCGUUUUUAAAAUAAAAUAUAAAUUACUACAUAAAUCCUCUACAUAUAUGUAGUUCGCAAUGCGUCAUUUAAAGCACGAGAGUCAUCUUACACCCCGGGGUGUAAGAUGGAUUUUCCAGCACCGGUAAAAUACCGGAAAUCCCCGUCUGGUAUGCAAGAAAAUGUGUGCAAGAAAAUGUGUACGACUUAAUUGAUAGACUUAAAGAAAUAUCAACAUACAUACAUCGGCAAUGGCAUAUAAUCACAAUUAUGUAUACGAUUAGACAUUACUUGUUUGUAAUAUUGAGUAAGACUUAGUAUAAAGUAUUUCACGAAGUUGGGAAUGUACUGUCUGUUAUUACUUAUACGGGGUAAUGGACGACGCUUUAUCAAGGAGUGAAAAAUAUAAAAGAAAAUAGUUAUGAAGAAUGUUUGCUGUUAGUUUACUGAGAAAGGCAAAUGCUAUGUAUAACAUUAACUACUAACAAAAAUAGCAGUUCUUUACAAAUGCAAAGGGUUUUGGCGAAUACUUGGAAAACAUUUGUUAUGAUAUGUUAUAAAAUUCUUUAAGGAUCAUGGAGACCAUUCAAUUUACCUUAAAUCAGCUACAAGUCAACUUUCAAUACCAUUUCUCAGGUGAAAAGGAACUUUUUUCUUAAUUUGGCUGGUAGUUUAAGGACCAAGAAGAUUUGUGAAACUGGAUUAUUUUUAAAAAUUCGCACGGGAUAUAUCGUGUCCAACCGGAUUUAUUAAAAUACUAUCUGAUAUUUUCUCAUACUUCGGUUAGGUGGAUAUUUUUGCAAGCGGAAUUCUUAUCAUAGAUGUUACUGGAAAUAUUUAAUUUAGUUCUGUGUUGUACUAAAAAUUUUGUCUUUGUUUGAAAUCAAUUAUGAUAAAGCAAAUCUGAUUCAUAAACAUGAAAAAAAAAUAUUUUGGAUAUUUUCAGAAAGAAUCAUCAGGUUUAAAGUAAGAGAUUAUAAAUAAGAUUAAUAAACACUCUUUCAUACAAACUGGUAAAGAUAAUGCCUUUUGGGCAAUCCAACACACUUUUUUCUCAAAAACACAAAAUAAACAUCAAUUUGAUGUUUGUUCAAAGUGGUACGUAGGAUUUGGGCCAAUUUUGGCCCCCACCAAAAUGAUGACAAAUUAUAUGCCAUUUUGUUUACCAAAAUGCAUGUAUUUACCAAAAAUGAACAUAAAAGUCUGCAAGGACAAUUGUUUACGGACAAGGACUUCCGUAAGUACUUAAUUACAUAUACCAUCAAAAUACAUACUUAAGAUUAUUUCUUAAAGUCAAAUUUUCAAUAUUUGUUUCAUAAAACGAUGAUUUUUGCUCUAAAUAGAAUUACGUACCCUGUUAUUACACAUAUAAAAGAUAUUCUGCUUUAUACAACAUUGUUCCCCCUGUGCGUCAAAACCAUUUUUGGCCAGCAUAUGUAGAUAUUAAUAAUACACAUUUUCUGUGACUAUUGUGUUGAUGCAAGGGGUGGAACAGUACUAUUAAAAAUAGAUAUAACUACAGGGUGUUCCCAAAUGUAAAGUAACCAAUACUUUUUGUAUUCAUUUUUAAUAAUUUGAUUGUCACAUAUAUUUACGUCUGUUUGUAAUUCAAAUACUAUACAAAUGUUUGAAAUGGUACACAUAGGCAUAUUAUACAUGUACAGUAGUUAGAGAAGCAAAUACUGUGAAUUCAUUAUUAUUCGUUGGGUUAAAUUUUCAUUGGCUUAUCCUGGUUGUUUGUUUCAGUAGAUUGGCAAAUGUGUGCUGUAAAAUACUAGAAACACACCAGGUAAUCUUCUGCAUGCCCUCCUCACGACGCGCACGCCACUAGCGAUGAGGAUUUUAUUUGUUUUCCAUUCUGUUUUUAUUAUUUUUCGUAUUUUUUAUAUAUUUUUUCAUUUCUUUAUUUUUUCAUCUUCUUCUGUGCGUUUAUAUUUAUUUCUUUUAGACACAAACUAAAUGUCACACGCAUUCAUUUCUUCAUGUUCUUCCUUCUGUGAAGACUGAAUAAUUUUGAAGAUUGUUCUUUGCGGCGGACUAGGCCUAAACACCACAAAAAGAGGCAAUAUGUGCACAGCAGAUAAUCUGAUCCUGACUAUAGUCUAUUCAACAGAAAUAACGCUUGGCAUUGAUAUGCCUGUGAUGCAUAGGUCAAGAACAGUAGUUACUUGGCAGGUCAGGUCAGUGAUGGUUUCACAUUCAGUGUGAUGCCAUGAAAGUGAUGUGUCAAGUCGCUUUCCAUGCAGAUGGCAUAUACAAAUACGGUUAGACGCGAAAACGAACUAAAAGGUCCAGCCG